AUUGAACGCUGGCGGCAUGCUUUACACAUGCAAGUCGAACGGUAACAGGCCGCAAGGUGCUGACGAAUGGCGAACGGGUGAGUAAUGCAUCGGAACGUGCCCAGUCGUGGGGGAUAACGCAGCGAAAGCUGCGCUAAUACCGCAUACGAUCUCUGGAUGAAAGCGGGGGACCGAAAGGCCUCGCGCGCUCGGAGCGGCCGAUGUCAGAUUAGGUAGUUGGUGGGGUAAAGGCCCACCAAGCCAACGAUCUGUAGCUGGUCUGAGAGGACGACCAGCCACACUGGGACUGAGACACGGCCCAGACUCCUACGGGAGGCAGCAGUGGGGAAUUUUGGACAAUGGGCGCAAGCCUGAUCCAGCAAUGCCGCGUGCAGGAAGAAGGCCUUCGGGUUGUAAACUGCUUUUGUACGGAACGAAACGGUCCGGGUUAAUACCCUGGGCUAAUGACGGUACCGUAAGAAUAAGCACCGGCUAACUACGCGCCAGCCGCCGCAGUAAUAC
rnacentral:rRNA from 1 species